rnacentral:lncRNA from 1 species
UCUAUAAAAAGGGUUUAUUGCAUAAAUAAACAAUCCCAUAAUUUUUGGGUAUUUAUUUGGCGUUGAAAACUAUUUUAUUUAAAUAGUUAUAAAGCCCUAAAGGCAUUUAUAGGGCAAAGGUAUUUUUAUAUAUUUUAUUUGGAGGGGAAAUUAGUCCCAAAAGUUGAAUCAUAUUAUAAUAUGAUUUUACAAAUUUUCUAGAAUUUAUUUGGAUCAAGUUGGAGUUCAAAAUCAAAAGAUAUCAAAGAAAUCAGAAAAACAAAAAGAAAAGAACAAAAAAACAGAAAACCGGACCGGCCCGGCCAACUUGGGCCGAACCGGCCCCGUCCCGACCAACCGCCCGAGCCAGACAGGCCC